UGAGGGUGACGAUGAUGAUGAUGAGUAGGAGGAGGAGGAGGAAAGCUUUAUUGCGCAGGGAGAUCAGGCACCUCCAUCUACCCGCCUCAUCCUUAUCCCAGUUUUCCCCACUUCUAUCUGACCCUCCCACCACCCCGACACUAGUGGCUUUGCUAGCUACGAUUUGCAGGAGUCGAAGUUAUCAUGAAACGAGGAAGAGACAUAAAGUCAUUUUUUGCCCCAGCAAACAAAAAAGUGAGAGAAACAAAUCGAGGUUUUGAGAAAGUUGAGGAAGAGGGAGAGCCAGCAUGUGAUGAAAGUGAGGGGUCUGACAAAGAGAAGGAAAUUCCAGAGGGUGAGGAGGAUGAAGAAGAGGGUGAGGGAAGAUGAAGAAGAGGGUGAGGAGCAUGAGGAGGAUGAAGAAGAGGGUGAGGAGCAUGAAGAAGAAAGCAUACAGGGAAAGAGAGAGGAACAGCCAGAGGGACAGCAAGUGGAUCCAUGUGGAUCAAGUACUGCACCAUCAGAUAUCAGCAAGUCUAAGUAUGACGUACCAGUACAGCCGAACUUGAAGAUGUUCCCAACCACACUGAUGGGGGAGAGAAGACGGAGCUUUAGGCCAAACUGGUACACUACUAAUCCAUGGCUUGAGUAUUCUGUAAUGACGGACUCUACAUGUUGCUAUGCAUGUAGACAUUUUAGCACAGUGGUUCCCAACGUGGG